rnacentral:rRNA from 1 species
AGGGUUUGAUUAUGGCUCAGGAUGAACGCUGGCGGCGUGCCUAAUACAUGCAAGUAGAACGCUGAAGCUUGGUGCUUGCACCGAGCGGAUGAGUUGCGAACGGGUGAGUAACGCGUAGGUAACCUGCCUCUUAGCGGGGGAUAACUAUUGGAAACGAUAGCUAAUACCGCAUAAAAGUCGAUAUCGCAUGAUAUUGAUUUGAAAGGUGCAAUUGCAUCACUAAGAGAUGGACCUGCGUUGUAUUAGCUAGUUGGUGAGGUAACGGCUCACCAAGGCGACGAUACAUAGCCGACCUGAGAGGGUGAUCGGCCACACUGGGACUGAGACACGGCCCAG